UCUUUGGAGAGUUUGAUCCUGGCUCAGGACGAACGCUGGCGGCGUGCUUAACACAUGCAAGUCGUGCGGAAAGGCCUUCUUCGGAGGGUGCUCGAGCGGCGAACGGGUGAGUAACACGUGAGUAAUCUGCCCUGCACUUUGGGAUAGCCACCGGAAACGGUGAUUAAUACUGGAUAGGACUGCCUCCUGCAUGGGGGGUGGUGGAAAGCCCUUUGGGGUGGUGUGGGAUGUGCUCGCGGCCUAUCAGCUUGAUGGUGGGGU
rnacentral:rRNA from 1 species